GAGCACAGGGUGCUCCUGCCACUUUAAGGGCCUGGAGCUGGCAGCCUCCAGGUGCCUGAUUAGGGCAGCCAUUUUGGGGCCUAUAUAAACCAGGCAGUUUGGCUGCAGGGGGGCAGGCAGCAACAUCGCCUGGCCUUAGGGCUGCUGUGUACGUCCUGGAGGCGUGGUGGGCGAGAUGAGCGGGCGGUUGCCACGAGACAGGUGGGCGGGCCACGAAGAGCUUGGCCCUGAGUAGGCCUGCUGUCACGGUGACAGGCAGGCGGGCCACGGAGCUCGGCCCCAGGAGGCGCCACCUGUCACAACACCAAAAAGGAGAAAGGGCAUCAAGGAAUAUUUAAGGCCUCUAUGUCCCACCUGUGCCCACCAGCUCAUAAAGCCGUGGUGCUAGCUAUCCAGUGCCUGAUUGAUUGGUGUUCUGAGGUGUAAUUCUUGCAGUGAGGUGCUUCACGGUGGAUUCCUUGAGGACCUGCUCCAUGAUCUUUCCAGGGAGAUCUAGGAUUUGACAAAAGGUGAGUACAGGAGCAGCAAUCCCUGCUGCAGGAUUCCAACAACUCCCAGCCUCUUCCUUCCCUCUUGCCCCACUGGUGUGGGUACAUAGUGCCACAGGAGCCUCUGAGGACUACGCAAAGUUCCCAAAGCAGGAUACCUUUCUUAUUCAGUGCACUGCUUGGGCCUGUUCUGGGGAUGAAUCAAGGUUGUGUAGGAAAAGAAAUUGUCAGUUGGACCCCUGCUUCUUUCAUGACAGAAGUUGGAAGGUGAAGGACACAAGGAUGUUAUUGUGUUACUAUGUUACUCCCCACAAUAAAAUAUUGCUUGAUGGUGCACUGAAGUGUAUUGUUGGAAGAUAAUCAUUCUUCUUCAAGAUGAGAUGCAUGACUCCAUAUUACCUAUAAUUAAGGAAAGAAAUUCAUUUCAAGGAAUGUUUAUUUCACGCACCACAUGCUAAUUUUGGUGGAAUGUGUUAGAACUCUUAAAAGGCUGGCGACAUUUUUAGAUGACAGAUCACAGUGCUCCUUUUCACUCUCCCAACCGUUUUCAUCAAUCAUCCAUUUUUGGUUCCAAGUGAAGCUGAUGAAAGAUUUGCCUAUGUAAAAAAAGUUGUAGCUUUAGUCUCUAAGGACCUUGUUACAUGUUACACUGUGAGCUGCUCAAAUAUUGAUUGGAGUUCUGCUAACUCAAGUUUGGAGCAGUCACAUAUUUAACCCAUCAGGAGGACUGAAAGAACUGGGCUACAUUCAGCAAAACUGCUGCAAAGAGGCAGAAAUCGCUCCUCCUUGGGUCAGUAAAGUUUCUCCCAUCCCAAGAAAGAUUCCUUCAUAAGAAGAGAAGGUAAACUUUUAGCGGCAGGAAGAAGGACAAUUUUAUUAAACAAGCCUACGUCUGCAAACCAAAUAGUUGCAUGACAAAAAAGAAAGGGGAGGAGGAGAGGAAAAAAAGAAGCUGAUGAAUAAA